UACAGAGGGUGCGAGCGUUAAUCGGAGUUACUGGGCGUAAAGGGCGCGUAGGCGGUUUGAUGGGUGUGAUGUGAAAGCCCUGGGCUUAACCUGGGAAGUGCAUCGCAAACUAUGGAACUGGAGUACAAGAGAGGGUGGCGGAAUUUCCGGUGUAGCGGUGAAAUGCGUAGAGAUCGGAAGGAACGUCAAUGGCGAAGGCAGCCACCUGGCUUGAUACUGACGCUGAGGCGCGAAAGCGUGGGGAGCGAACAGG
rnacentral:rRNA from 1 species